UGUCACAUUCAAAAACUAUCAAUAAAAAAUAUAAUUCUCCAUCUACAACCAGAAAAAAGAAAAACUAUAAACAUAUAAAUUUAAAUUAAGAAAAACUAACAUUGGAAAAACAAAAAAUUAAUGUAAAAGAAACAAACCGACAAAUAAUAUUAUAAAUAAAAUAAAUUUAUAAGACACAAUCCGCGCGAAGCGCGGAAAAAAUCUCUAGUAUAUUGAAUAGUGUUUGUAAAGCUGAACUUGGAAUUGAUGCAAGACUUAAAUUUAGCUAAGUAGGAUAAAUUUUCUUAUCAAUAAAUUUAGAAUAAACAUAUAAUAUGUUUGAUGUUCAGAUUUUUUAAUAUAAUUAGCAAAACAAAAAUACAAAAUUCAGUAUUUCUUAUCUAUGCUGUAUGUUUGAUGUUCGUUUGGUGUUAUAGAACUACAUCACAUUUUUGACACAUAAUUACAUAAAACAUACUAAUUAAAGUGGUUUUGAAAGGAAAUUAAAUUAGGCUUUGAUAUCAGCCAGUUAUAUUACACGGUGAAGCCCAAAAAAAUUGUGAAUUAAGUUGAGCUCUCAUGAUCCACAAAAUAAUCACAUAUCCUCAUCCAGCCCCUUUUGAAAUAUUGAUAAUCUAAUGUGACCGUUCAGGAAGAGGAAAAAAAAACAUAAAUAAAGGUAAUUGAAAAAAAAAACACAAAUCUUUUGGCGAUUUUAGUUUUGAAAAAUCUAUAGGAUGGAUGGAUCAUAUAUUUAUAAGAGAUCUGAUAUUCAAUGGAAGUAGGUAAAAUCUUUCCAAAAUCAUGUUGAUACCAACUUGAAUAAAAGAUGCGUAUGUGGGAGAAUAAAUGUUGCAAUCUUGCGACACUAAAAAGAGAAUAAGCUCAAAGUUCAGGGCUUCCACAUCUGCAUAUUAAAUCAACCAAUAAAAAGAAGUUAUUAUGCCACAUUCUUACUACUCGUAGAGUGAAGAAAACAAGUGGGACUUUUUAUCCCAUUGAAACCCAUAUCCUGAUCCUGAAUUGAUCUCAACGAAAACCCUAUCGUUCAUUGCCACACACUUUUUUAUCCCAUUGAAGUCCAUUGUUCAUCUUUUUCUAUUUCUUGAACUUUAACACUCACACUCUUCAUCUUCCUCACCCCCAUCUGCAUAACCCAGCCGUUGCAACCUUUUCUGAUUCUCCCUAACGUUGGCGACCCACCUCUUAACGUCAUAAAGUCUCAUUACUCAUUUGUACAGAAAAAAUCAACAACCAAAGAGAUUUUACCACUAUAUAAACCGAUGGCAUGAUCCAGGUCCCAUACAGACCUCAUCAUAUCGUCCCACUUUAGGAACCAUCCUUAUGACUUCUCAGAGCAAAAUAACUCCAGUUUUGCGAGGAGGCUAUGUUGCGGUGAGAAAGUUUGUGUUGAGAACGACGUACGGUAGCUUGAUGUGUAGAUUGCACCGCCGAGAAAGAAAAAAAAUGUUUACAACACAAGGAAGUAGCAACGUGAUUUCAUGGUAGCAUGCUUAAACGCUAAUUAGUUUACUUUUCACUUUCUGAUUCCUUUCUUUUUUUUUUUUUGGUCAAAAUUCCUUUCAUUUUUUUAUUUUUUCUAUUACUUAGGUCUUUUAUCAAAUUUUGUAUGUGUUUUCUGGUUCGUCUACCAAAUUUUCUAUGUUAAUAAAUGGUCUCUGCGUCUUUUGUUCAAACCUUUUUCGGACAGUUAGAAACCAUCUGCGCCUGUAUAUAUAAUAAAUGGGCGCACUCACUCAUGUCUGUGAUUGUUUUUUGUAGGAGAAAUGUAUAUGUAUGACUGCAUCGAUAUUAUUGAACUGGUCACUCCACUGCCAUCUCCAAUAGCUUGAGUAGAAAAGGAUAUUCGGAGAUUUAUACAUCUAAACUAUGGUGGUGUUCUGUGUUUUACAUCUCAGCAGCUGGAGAAAUAUAUAUUCACUGAAACGUCUUUGUUUGCAUGCCAAAGUGUAUUGUGUUUGUUUAUUUGCUUAUAUGGUUCAGGUGUACUAUAUUUAGCUCUGAAUAAGUUUUUAGGAUUUUUCCGUGCAUUUCUUCAACUAAUGUUGCUCAUACUUUGGUUUGUUAUCAGGUACCUCAAUAUUGACACAUCUGGAAGGUAAGCCCAUGUUCUGAUAUCUUAGCAAUAAAGAAAAGGCAUGUGCGGAAGAGGAGCUCAAACAGAGUCGGUGAAGCUGCAAACCAACAUGAAAAGAACAUAUGGUUACGGGAAGCUGUAAACUGAAAAAGGAAGAAAGUAUUGGUGAAUGAAGAUAUUGUAAUUUGUAAAUGAGUUGCAGGAAGAACUUAUUCGUUGGUUUUUAUAAUUAAAAUAACAGUUUGUGGAGA